GGAGGGGGCGAGCGUUAUUCGGAAUUAUUGGGCGUAAAGGGCGCGUAGGCGGCUUUCUAAGUCAAAGGUGAAAUCCCUCGGCUCAACUGAGGAACUGCCUUUGAAACUGGAAGGCUUGAGGCCGGGAGGGGGUAGCGGAAUUCCCAGUGUAGCGGUGAAAUGCGUAGAUAUUGGGAGGAACACCAGUGGCGAAGGCGGCUACCUGGACCGGUUCUGACGCUGAUGCGCGAAAGCGUGGGUAGCAAACAGGAUUAGAUACCCUGGUAGUCCACGCUGUAAACGAUGGGUGCUCGGUGUCGCGGGUAUCGACCCCUGCGGUGCCUUAGCUAACGCGUUAAGCACCCCGCCUGGGGAGUACGGUCGCAAGGCUG
rnacentral:rRNA from 1 species